AUUGAACGCUGGCGGCAGGCUUAACGCAUGCAAGUCGAGCGGGGUGAUGGUGCUUGCACUAUCACUUAGCGGCGGACGGGUGAGUAAUGCUUAGGAAUCUGCCUAUUAGUGGGGGACAACAUCUCGAAAGGGAUGCUAAUACCGCAUACGUCCUACGGGAGAAAGCAGGGGAUCACUUGUGACCUUGCGCUAAUAGAUGAGCAUAAGUCGGAUUAGCUAGUUGGUGGGGUAAAGGCCUACCAAGGCGACGAUCUGUAGCGGGUCUGAGAAGAUGAUCCGCCACACUGGGACUGAGACACGGCCCAGACUCCUACGGGAGGCAGCAGUGGGGAAUAUUGGACAAUGGGGGGAACCCUGAUCCAGCCAUGCCGCGUGUGUGAAGAAGGCCUUAUGGUUGUAAAGCACUUUAAGCGAGGAGGAGGCUCUUUUGGUUAAUACCCAAGAUGAGUGGACGUUACUCGCAGAAUAAGCACCGGCUAACUCUGUGCCAGCCGCCGCAGUAA
rnacentral:rRNA from 1 species